rnacentral:rRNA from 1 species
CAGAGGUGGCAAGCGUUGUUCGGAAUUACUGGGCGUAAAGGGCGCGUAGGCGGCCUUGUCAGUCAGACGUGAAAUCCCCAGGCUUAACCUGGGAACUGCGUCUGAUACUACAAGGCUGGAGUGCGGGAGAGGGAUGUGGAAUUCCAGGUGUAGCGGUGAAAUGCGUAGAUAUCUGGAGGAACACCGGUGGCGAAGGCGGCAUCCUGGACCGACACUGACGCUGAUGCGCGAAAGCUAGGGGAGCAAACGGGAUUAGAUACCCCGGUAGUCCUAGCCCUAAACGAUGAGUGCUUGGUGUGGCGGGUAUCGAUCCCUGCCGUGCCGAAGCUAACGCAUUAAGCACUCCGCCUGGGGAGUACGGUCGCAAGGCUG